GCACAGCUGAGGAGUCCCAUAAUAGGACGAUACGGCCAUCCAGUGC
rfam:Schistosoma mansoni strain Puerto Rico chromosome 2, complete genome